AUUGAACGCUGGCGGCAGGCUUAACACAUGCAAGUCGAGCGGAGCGAGGGUGCUUGCACCUUAGCUUAGCGGCGGACGGGUGAGUAAUGCUUAGGAAUCUGCCUAUUAGUGGGGGACAACAUUCCGAAAGGAAUGCUAAUACCGCAUACGCCCUACGGGGGAAAGCAGGGGAUCUUCGGACCUUGCGCUAAUAGAUGAGCCUAAGUCGGAUUAGCUAGUUGGUGGGGUAAAGGCAUACCAAGGCGACGAUCUGUAGCGGGGCUGAGAGGAUGAUCCGCCACACUGGGACUGAGACACGGCCCAGACUCCUACGGGAGGCAGCAGUGGGGAAUAUUGGACGAUGGGCGGAAGCCUGAUCCAGCCAUGCCGCGUGUGUGAAGAAGGCCUUUUGGUUGUAAAGCACUUUAAGCGAGGAGGAGGCUACUUAGAUUAAUACUCUAGGAUAGUGGACGUUACUCGCAGAAUAAGCACCGGCUAACUCUGUGCCAGCCGCCGCCGUAAAAC
rnacentral:rRNA from 1 species